rnacentral:piRNA from 1 species
CGCUGAAUAGACAGAAAAUCGUG